rnacentral:rRNA from 1 species
AUUGAACGCUGGCGGCAGGCCUAACACAUGCAAGUCGAACGAGUGGCGGACGGGUGAGUAAUGUCUGGGAAACUGCCCGAUGGAGGGGGAUAACUACUGGAAACGGUAGCUAAUACCGCAUACAAUCGGAUGUGCCCAGAUGGGAUUAGCUUGUAGGUGAGGUAACGGCUCACCUAGGAGACGAUCCCUAGCUGUUCUUCGAGGAUGACCAGCGACACUGGAACUGAGACACGGGCCAGACUCCGACGUGAGGCAGCAGUGGGGAAUAUUGCACAAUGGGAGCAAGCCUGAUGCAGCCACGCCGCGUGUAUGAAGAAGGCCUUCGGGUUGUAAAGUACUUUCAGCGGGGAGGCGUUACCCGCAGAAGAAGCACCGACUAACUCCGUGCCAGAAGCCGCGGUAAUAC